rnacentral:rRNA from 1 species
CAAUAGCGUAUAUUAAAGCUGUUGCGGUUAAAAAGCUCGUAGUUGGAUUUCUGUCAAGGACAACUGGUCCGCCCUCCGGGUGAGCACAUAGUUUGGUCUUGGCAUCUUGCUGGAAACUGUUGCUGCACUUGGCUGUGUGGCGCAGCGUCCAGCACUUUCACUUUGAGGAAAUUGGAGUGUUUCAAGCAGGCACAUGCCUUUGGACACAGUAGCAUGGAAUAAUUAGAUUGGGCUUUUGCUCCAAUUUGUCGGUUUCUGGAGCUGAGGUGAGAAUUAAUGGGGAUUGUUGGGGGCAUCCGAAUUUAGCCGUCAGAGGUGAAAUUCUUGGAUCUGCUAAAGACGGACAACUGCGAAAGCGUUUGCCAAGGAUGUUUUCAUUGA